UUGGCAGUAGCUCAAUUUGGCAGAGCAAUGCGUUGUGGUCGCAUAGGUUGUGGGUUCAAUUCCCAUCUGCCAACCCA
rnacentral:tRNA from 1 species